rnacentral:rRNA from 1 species
UACGUAGGGUGCAAGCGUUGUCCGGAAUUAUUGGGCGUAAAGAGCUCGUAGGCGGUGUGUCGCGUCUGCUGUGAAAACUCAGGGCUCAACUCUGAGCUUGCAGUGGGUACGGGCACACUAGAGUGCUGUAGGGGAGACUGGAAUUCCUGGUGUAGCGGUGAAAUGCGCAGAUAUCAGGAGGAACACCGGUGGCGAAGGCGGGUCUCUGGGCAGUUACUGACGCUGAGGAGCGAAAGCGUGGGGAGCAAACAGG